CGCGGGGUGGAGCAGCCUGGUAGCUCGUCGGGCUCAUAACCCGAAGGUCGGAGGUUCAAAUCCUCCCCCCGCUACCA
rnacentral:tRNA from 1 species